GUGAAGGAAGGGAAUUAUCAGGAUGACAGGCCUUAACACUGGAUCCCCAUCAACAUCUUCCACUGUGGAGUCAUGUGGCUGCAGAGGAAUGAAGAAACUAGUAAUGUUGACAUCUAGUCACACAAGGCAGGCACUGGACUUUGUCAUGGAUCAACUCUCAAGCCACUACCAUAAUUGGAGGAUGUGGAAGUGAUCAGAAGUUACCAAUUUUGCACACAAGCAAAACCCAAGGUAGCAUGAGGGGAAAGGGCACAGUCAUUGCUUGGAGGAACACAGGAAAGAGUUAGCAGAUUGGGAUAUAGCAACAGUUGUAUACAUUCACGUUUAUAUGAAGCAGG
rnacentral:lncRNA from 10 species